GAUUAAUUUAAUUUGAAUUUAAUAGAUUAUAAAUUUAUUUGUUUUGUAUUUAUUUUAUAAAGUAUUAUUAUAUUUAAGUAAUUUAAUGAAAAAAUUAUAUUAAUUAUAGUGUAUUAGUAUAGUAAUAGAAUUUAGUUAAAUAAUAAAAAGAAGAAUUUAGUUUUGUACCUUGUGUAUCAGGGUUUAUUAAAUAAUAAUUAAUAAUAUAAUUUUCUCGAAUUUAAAAGAGUUAAGUAUAUAUUUAUUUUAUUGUAAAAUAAAUAUUUUAAAUAUAUAUUUAGUAAUGAAAUGUUAUUCGUUUUUAAAUAUAUCUAGUUUUUUAAGAAAUGAAUUUAAUUCAUAUAUUUAAUUAAAUUAUUUUAAUUAUUUAAUAAUAAUUUAAUUUAAAUAUCAAUAAUUAAGGGGAUAAGCUUUUAAUUAAAAUUUUAUAAUUUUAUUUAAUAAUUAAGUUAUGUAGGAUUAAAAAUUUUUAUCAUUAAUAAUUUGUUAAAAUGAAAUUUAUUAAUAUAAUUAUUUAUAUAAGAUUUAAAUUUUAUAUUAAAAUAUUAAAUUAAAUUCUUUAAUUUAAGGAAUUAUGAUAGAAUUAGUAUAAUUAUAUUUAUAUUUAUGUUAUGAUUAUAAUGUUAUAUAAAGGAAUUCGGCAAAUAUUUUUCUGCCUGUUUAUUAAAAACAUGUCUUUUUGAAAAUAAUUUAAAGUCUAACCUGCCCAAUGAUAUAUAUUUAAUGGCUGCAGUAUUUUAACUGUACAAAGGUAGCAUAAUAAUUAGUCCUUUAAUUAAGGACUGGAAUGAAUGGUUGGACAAGAAAAAAGCUGUCUCUAUAUAAAUUAUUUAGAAGUUUAUAUUUAAGUUAAAAAGCUUAAAUAUAUUUUAAAGACGAGAAGACCCUAUAGAGUUUAAUAAUAAUAUAAAAUUAGAAAUUUAGAAUAGUUAUUUUAUUUUUAAGUAAUUAUUUUAUUGGGGUGAUAGUAAAAUUUAAUAAACUUUUUUUAAAAAUAAACAUUAAUGUAUGAAUAUUUGAUCCAUAAAUUAUGAUUAAAAGAUAAAAUUACCUUAGGGAUAACAGCGUAAUUUUUUUAGAAAGUUCAUAUUGAUAAAAAAGUUUGCGACCUCGAUGUUGGAUUAAAAUAAUAUUUGGUGUAGAAGCUAAAUUAAUUAGGUCUGUUCGACCUUUAAAAUUUUACAUGAUCUGAGUUUAAACCGGUGUGAGCCAGGUUGGUUUCUAUCUUAAAUUAAUAUAAAAUAUUUUAGUACGAAAGGACCAAAUAUUUAUAAUAAUUAUUUAUUUUAUUGAAUAAAAUUAAAAUGUUAUUUUGGCAGAAUAGUGCAAUAAAUUUAGAAUUUAUAUAUAUAUAUAUUAA
rnacentral:rRNA from 1 species